rnacentral:rRNA from 1 species
AUGGGGACGGGGAUGAGUUUGCGAUUUUCUCAUGGGGAUGGGUUUGGGCAAACAAAACCCGAUGGGUUUCGUCCCCGUUGCCAUCUUGAGCACCACUCGAUCGAGAAACACGAUGACAAUGGCAUGCUGGGCGAAAUCGGAGAGAAGGCAAGGACAACGACGGAGGAGUUCCUGAAGAUGGCCAAGGAGAAGACCGACGACGUCGCCGAGGGCACAAAGGAGACGGUGCAGGAGACCAAGGAGGUGGUGCUCGGCGAGUCCGGCGAUGACAAGGACAAGUUCAAGCACCGGGUCGAGCAGGGGAGGUACGACCAGAAAUAA